rnacentral:rRNA from 1 species
GUGCACCAGUCGAGAAACCUCCGCAAUACACGAAAGUGUGACGGGGCCAUCCCGAGUGCCGUCCGCUGAGGACGGGCUUUUCCCCAGUGUACAUAGCUGGGGGGAAUAAGGAGAGGGCAAGCCUGGUGUCAGCCGCCGCGGUAAUACCAGGCUCUCCGAGGUGGUGGGGACGCUUAUUGGGCCUAAAGCAUCCGUAGGCCGGCUGGGCAAGUCCUCCGUUAAAUCCAACGAUUCAAUCGUUGGGCUGCGGGGGAUACUGUCCAGGCUUGGGGGCGGGAGAGGCCGACGGUAUUCCCGGGGUAGGGGU